rnacentral:siRNA from 1 species
AGGACGUUACUUAAUAACAAUUGU